rnacentral:rRNA from 1 species
GAUGAACGCUAGCGGCAGGCCUAACACACGCAAGUCGAGGGGUAGAAGUUGCUUGCAACUUUGAGACCGGCGCACGGGUGCGUAACGCGUAUGCAAUCUGCCUUGUACUGAGGGAUAGCCCAGAGAAAUUUGGAUUAAUACCUCAUAGUAUUAUGGUGUGGCAUCACAUUAUAAUUAAAGUUCCAACGGUACAAGAUGGGCAUGCGUCCCAUUAGUUAGUUGGUAAGGUAACGGCUUACCAAGACGAUGAUGGGUAGGGGUCCUGAGAGGGAGAUCCCCCACGCUGGGACUGAGACACGGACCAGACUCCUACGGGAGGCAGCAGUGAGGAAUAUUGGUCAAUGGGCGCAAGCCUGAACCAGCCAUGCCGCGUGCAGGAUGACGGUCCUAUGGAUUGUAAACUGCUUUUAUACGGGAAGAAACACUCCUACGUGUAGGAACUUGACGGCACCGUAAGAAUAAGGAUCGGCUAACUCCGUGCCAGCAGCCGCGGUAAUAC